GGCGAGAUGGCCGAGCGGUCUAAGGCGCCAGACUAAGGACCAUACAUCUGGUCCGAAAGGGCGUGGGUUCGAAUCCCACUCUCGUCA